UACAGAGGUGGCAAGCGUUGUUCGGAAUUACUGGGCGUAAAGGGCGCGUAGGCGGUCAGGUCAGUCCCGUGUGAAAUCCCUCGGCUCAACUGAGGAACUGCACGGGAAACUGCCUGGCUUGAGUUCGGGAGAGGGAAGCGGAAUUCCGGGUGUAGCGGUGAAAUGACGCAGAUAUCAGGAGGAACACCGGUGGCGAAGGCGGGUCUCUGGGCCGAUACUGACGCUGAGGAGCGAAAGCGUGGGGAGCGAACAGG
rnacentral:rRNA from 1 species